GACGAGGGGCCCGAGCGUUAUUCGGAAUCACUGGGCUUAAAGGGUGCGUAGGCGGAUGCGUAAGCGUCUCGUGAAAUCCCUCGGCUCAACCGGGGAAUGGCGGGGCGAACUGCGUGUCUUGAGACAGGUAGGGGCCGUCGGAACGCUCGGUGGAGCGGUGAAAUGCAUAGAUAUCGAGCGGAACGCCGAAGGAGAAGUCGGGCGGCUGGGCCUGUUCUGACGCUGAGGCAAGAAAGCGUGGGGAUCGAACAGG
rnacentral:rRNA from 1 species